CAAAUACUCCCUCCGUCCGAAAAUACUUGUCAUCAAAAUGGAUAAAAGAGAUGUAUCUAGAACUAAAAUACAUCUAGAUACAUCCCCUUUUAUCCAUUUUGGUGACAAGUAUUUUCGGACGGAGGGAGUAUAUA
rnacentral:pre_miRNA from 1 species